rnacentral:rRNA from 1 species
GUGAACGCUGGCGGUAGGCCUAACACAUGCAAGUCGAACGGCAGCACAGUAAGAGCUUGCUCUUACGGGUGGCGAGUGGCGGACGGGUGAGGAAUACAUCGGAAUCUACUUUUUCGUGGGGGAUAACGUAGGGAAACUUACGCUAAUACCGCAUACGACCUACGGGUGAAAGCAGGGGAUCUUCGGACCUUGCGCGAUUGAAUGAGCCGAUGUCGGAUUAGCUAGUUGGCGGGGUAAAGGCCCACCAAGGCGACGAUCCGUAGCUGGUCUGAGAGGAUGAUCAGCCACACUGGAACUGAGACACGGUCCAGACUCCUACGGGAGGCAGUAGUGGGGAAUAUUGGACAAUGGGCGCAAGCCUGAUCCAGCCAUACCGCGUGGGUGAAGAAGGCCUUCAGGUUGUAAAGCCCUUUUGUUGGGAAAGAAAAGCAGCAGGUUAAUACCCCGCUGUUCUGACGGUACCCAAAGAAUAAGCACCGGCUAACUUCGUG